GGAGAGAACUUUCCACAGCCACCUUCCAUUUCAGCCCUCGGGGACUCUUUUGAUAAACCUUGGAAUGGUAUGGUUCAUUUUUCCGCAAUAGCAGCAGCUAGCAACGAAUUUUUCCCCCGAGGAUUCUAAUCUCUUCUUUUUGGAUCAUUUGGAUCAAAGAAUAAGCUCCUGGAGAGUCUUUUUUUCCGAAGAAGUUUUGCUCUUGCGCUGGGCUUUGAUGACACAGAAACAUUUCUCGAUGCUGAGAGGAAAAAAAAUAUCCCUGCUGAGAAAUCGUGCGUAGUGUCUGAUGCCCAGGACCCAGGACUUAAGGGUUUUAGGGCACAUGGAUGGCCCAUGGAUGUAGCCAUGCAUGUAGCCACGAUGGGGCCAUAUCCACUUGCGCAAGUUGCCUGAUAUUGACGUGACAGUGAUGUGGGAUCCGCAUGCAUGCCAAUGGAUGCGUAGGUAUGCGCAUAUAUGACAGGCCACAAGUGGGCACAUGGGGCCGCUAGAGGAUGGCUCGCCGAGCUUGCCUGUGACGAGCAAGUGAGGCACCAGGAAUUGGAAUUCGCGAUUUUAUUCUAUCCGUGGGGCUGCAGACAAGCAUUUUUAUACCCAUUACUAUUUACAAUAUCAUGCUUUUUUCCCGCCU